UACGUAGGGUGCAAGCGUUGUCCGGAAUUAUUGGGCGUAAAGAGCUCGUAGGCGGUUUGUCGCGUCUGCUGUGAAAACCCGAGGCUCAACCUCGGGCCUGCAGUGGGUACGGGCAGACUAGAGUGCGGUAGGGGAGAUUGGAAUUCCUGGUGUAGCGGUGGAAUGCGCAGAUAUCAGGAGGAACACCGGUGGCGAAGGCGGGUCUCUGGGCAAUUCCUGACGCUGAGGCGCGAAAGCGUGGGGAGCAAACGGG
rnacentral:rRNA from 1 species